UACGUAGGGGGCAAGCGUUGUCCGGAAUUAUUGGGCGUAAAGAGCGUGUAGGCGGCCAUACAGGUCAGCUGUGAAAACUCGAGGCUCAACCUCGAGACGUCGGUUGAAACCGUAUGGCUAGAGUCCGGAAGAGGAGAGUGGAAUUCCUGGUGUAGCGGUGAAAUGCGCAGAUAUCAGGAGGAACACCAACGGCGAAGGCAGCUCUCUGGGACGUUACUGACGCUGAGACGCGAAAGCGUGGGGAGCAAACAGG
rnacentral:rRNA from 1 species